GCCUCUGUAGCUCAGUUGGUUAGUGCGCUGCUCCGGAAUCGCAGGGCCGUAGGUUCGAUUCCUACCAGAGGAC
rnacentral:tRNA from 1 species